rnacentral:lncRNA from 1 species
UUAUGUUCUGCAACAGGAAGUAAGUUCUAAAUGAAUCUUAACAUUUUCCUUGACACGCCACUAUGUUUAAGUGUAUUAAAGAUGUCAUUGAAAGGUGCAGGGGAGGAGAAUGAACUUGAUUUGGCAGGUGGGUGUUCACGGUACUAUUAUCCACAAGUGUCUGUGCUGAUUGACAGCACACACAUUACCUCUUAACAGGCACUGUACUCAGUUGCAGCAGAUUUAAGUGUACGGCAUUUUUCACUGAAUAUUUGAAACUGUUUUAGUUAAUAGUAUUAAUUGUGCGUAGACCAACUUGCAGCCACUGUUUCAAAGUGCUUAAUGGAUAAUAAACCAAAAGAUUCUAUGGACCUCUACUUAGAGUAAAUGUGGGUCAACCUCUGCCAUGUUGCUUAGAUGUAUUUUGAGUAGGGCAAAUGUUAGUUCAGAGAAGGAAUCUUCCCCAUACUAUAGAUAAAUAGCGAAACUCAGGAAGGUGAAAUGCCCAAGGUCAGUUAGCUGGAAGGAGCUGAGCCGGAAUUGGAGCUCAGAUCUCCAGGGUCCUUGUUCUCUGCUCUUUGUACCAUACCAAACUGCCCUUUUUGCAGAGUUUCUAGCUAAGGAGAAACACUUGGUAUUAUGGCCGGUGGAGCUGCUACAAUCUNUAUUUGUGUUGAGAAGAGCACUGAAGCAAGGAAUUCUACUCAAUAUUUUCUUUGGAAAACCAAACAUGCUUUAUUUCAUUUUUUUCACAAUUUAUUUAAACAUCUCACAUAUACAAAAUAGGUACAAUUUAAUUUUUCUGCUUGUCCGAGAAACAAGACUUCCUUGGAACCGUGGGAGAGGAUGA